rnacentral:rRNA from 1 species
GAUGAACGCUAGCGAUAGGCUUAACACAUGCAAGUCGAGGGGCAGCAUGGUCUUAGCUUGCUAAGACUGAUGGCGACCGGCGCACGGGUGCGUAACGCGUAUGCAACUUGCCUCACAGAGGGGGAUAACCCGUCGAAAGACGGACUAAUACCGCGUACACUCCAUCUUGGGCAUCCAAGGUAGAGGAAAUGAAAUUCGCUGUGAGAUAGGCAUGCGUCCCAUUAGCUAGUUGGUGAGGUAACGGCUCACCAAGGCGACGAUGGGUAGGGGAACUGAGAGGUUGAACCCCCACACUGGUACUGAGACACGGACCAGACUCCUACGGGAGGCAGCAGUGAGGAAUAUUGGUCAAUGGGAGAGAGCCUGAACCAGCCAAGUCGCGUGAAGGAUGACUGUCUUAUGGAUUGUAAACUUCUUUUAUACGGGAAUAACAAGAGUCACGUGUGACUCCCUGCAUGUACCGUAUGAAUAAGCAUCGGCUAACUCCGUG